UUAGAGUGUAGUUGGAAGGUGGUUCGGCCAUUUGUGUCAUCAGAAUACUGAUCAAUAAUGACGCCAUCAGUUGCGGUUUGUUGAUGAAGAAGAAAAAG